rnacentral:rRNA from 1 species
UAGGGAAUCUUCGGCAAUGGGGGCAACCCUGACCGAGCAACGCCGCGUGAGUGAAGAAGGUUUUCGGAUCGUAAAGCUCUGUUGUAAGUCAAGAACGGGUGUGAGAGUGGAAAGUUCACACUGUGACGGUAGCUUACCAGAAAGGGACGGCUAACUACGUGCCAGCAGCCGCGGUAAUACGUAGGUCCCGAGCGUUGUCCGGAUUUAUUGGGCGUAAAGCGAGCGCAGGCGGUUUGAUAAGUCUGAAGUUAAAGGCUGUGGCUCAACCAUAGUUCGCUUUGGAAACUGUCAAGCUUGAGUGCAGAAGAGGAGAGUGGAAUUCCAUGUGUAGCGGUGAAAUGCGUAGAUAUAUGGAGGAACACCGGUGGCGAAAGCGGCUCUCUGGUCUGUAACUGACGCUGAGGCUCGAAAGCGUGGGGAGCGAACAGG